rnacentral:lncRNA from 1 species
CGACAAUUAUGGCCAUAACCGAGCCACAUGGUGGGCUGUUGUGAGGAUCGACCAGAUGUCAAGAAAAAAACUCGGCCUUCCAUGUCAGCCUUGGUCGGCCAAUUAAAGCACCAACGACUAUGAUGUCAUGUAUGCGUUUGGACGGUCAGAUGAUGGACCAAAUUCAGUUAAAAGCUUCCUUCUCUUCACAACUUUAUCUUCAUCUUCUUCAAACCGAAAAUUCUAGUUAAACGAGUGAAUGCGAGGGGAGGUUGAGAGCAUAAAAUAAUAGAGAGAGAGAGUCACGCACCAGAGUAGAGUGUACAUUCUGUGUGUGUAAUAAAAGAGGGGAACUUCUUCUUCUCACUGAGGUAAGUUGUUUCUUUUUCUUCUUAAUUGUUUUGUUUUCUCUUUAAUGUCUUACAGUCACUUCUACACAAAAAUCUAGCUCUUGAAAUGUAGUAGAAAACUCUAAAAUCUAAAACCAUCGCUACUGCACCUAAACGAUGCCUCUGUUUAGGUAAGCAUUUGUUAUUCAUCCAAUUUAACUUUUUUUUCGUGUUUCCUUUCAA